rnacentral:rRNA from 1 species
UAGGGAAUCUUCCGCAAUGGACGAAAGUCUGACGGAGCAACGCCGCGUGAGUGAUGAAGGCUUUCGGGUCGUAAAACUCUGUUGUUAGGGAAGAACAAGUACGAGAGUAACUGCUCGUACCUUGACGGUACCUAACCAGAAAGCCACGGGUAACUACGUG